rnacentral:rRNA from 1 species
GAUGAACGCUAGCGACAGGCCUAACACAUGCAAGUCGAGGGGCAGCAUGAAAUUAGCUUGCUAAUUUUGCUGGCGACCGGCGCACGGGUGAGUAACACGUAUGCAACCUGCCUGUAAGCGGGGGAUAACCCGGAGAAAUUCGGACUAAUACCGCAUAAUAUCAUUAGAUCGAAUGUUUUAAUGAUUAAUAAUUUAUUACUUUAAGAUGGGCAUGCGUAUGAUUAUCUAGUUGGCGGGGUAACGGCCGACCAAGGCGACGAUCAGUAGGGGUUCUGAGAGGAAGGUCCCCCAGAUUGGAACUGAGACACGGCCCAAACUCCGACGAGAGGCAGCAGUGAGGAAUAUUGGUCAAUGGACGCAAGUCUGAACCAGCCAUGGCGCGUGAAGGAUGACUGUCCUAUGGAUUGUAAACUUCUUUUAUAUGGGGAUAAAGUGUGAGACUUGUCUCAUUUUGCAUGUACCAUAUGAAUAAGCAUCGGCUAACUCCGUGCCAGCCGCCGCCGUAAUAC